rnacentral:lncRNA from 1 species
AAUUUCUUAAUCAGUGGCUAGGAGCUAGGGUGAGCUUAAUAUAAAUAUGUCCAAACUCCCCCGCCCCUCCCCAACCCCCUCUCCAUCGUCUCUCAGAGACCUUUUACCCUAACCCUAAUCAAGCCGCCGCAUCUAAAUCCCACCACUGUCCAAUGGCGGAGCCACCCCAUCUCACCUCCAAAUUAACACCAAACAAUGCUCUCACCUCUUUUUUACUAAACACCAAAGGAACACCUCUCAAAUCUCUCUCAACUUGUUUGAAUUUAAGAUCCAAAUUGGGAGACCUGGUCUGUCCAAGAUUGUUUCGUCAGAAUUUUCUUUUUUACUGGAAAUCAAAGCGACUCAAGACUCGUUUCAAAAAAGAGUUCCCAUCCAGAACGUUUGAUUGACACGAGUUCUAGUUCAUUUUGAAGGCCAGCCUCCGAGUAAUCAAUGUUUCUUCCUUUCUUUGAUUGAGUUGGAGCCCAAUCAUUAUGUUUUCUGGUUAGUUUUCAUGGCCUUGUUCUCUUUCAAUUAUGGUUUUUUGUGUGAAUUUGUUUGUAUUGUUUUGUUUUGUUUUAAUUUUUUUUGGGAAAGUUAGGUCUAGUCAGAGUCUAGAUUCAAUCUUAUUGUCCUGCUUUGGUUUCAACCUUUAUCUUCAUGAUGGGAAUUUUAGGGUUUAUGUGAUUUAAUUAAGGUUAAAUUAUAGUCUUCUUUCUAUGAUUCGUCUCAUAGAGUCAGUCUGAAUGAUUUUUAAUUUGAGGUAUGUUAUAAAAGUUCAAUUCUUGCACUGAAAUCUCAUUCUGAUCCGUUUGUUAAAAUUGGUGUGUUAUUCCGUUUGUUUGUCACAUAUUCUAAUAGUAAGUAGUCGUGGGGGACAUUCGAGCAACUAGAAACGUAAGGGGGCUUAGGGGUCAGGAAGGAAGUGUAAUAAGUAAUUGGGUAAGGGUUAGUUUGGAGAUUCUAGGUUGGGGAAAGAAUCAUUUCUUUUAGCAGGGAGCUUCUAGAGGCGAGGAUAAGGAUAAGUCUGUUAAGGGGAGUGAUUUUGAGAUGCUUGAAAGGGGUAAAAAGGGUAAAAUAACAAAAAUAGGGGUAAAAGGGGAAUUGAUUAGUUGAACUAGGGCUGCCUUAGGCAGACCUAUAUAAAGAUCUUCUACCUUUCAUUUGAGGGCUGCUUUCACACAUUCUGAAAAUCUGAGUUAGAGAGCUGAAAAUCCGAAAAAAGGCCACAUAAUUUACUGUUUUAUAAAGAGAAAAAAGCUAAAAAAAAUCUAAGAGAAUAGAGACGGCUAUAGUAGGGCUGUUCCAUUGAUUUUGGUUGUGAAACUUCAACUUGCUAAGGAAUUAUGUGUUUCAUUAAGUGUGUAAAUGGCUUGAAUCUGGUUCUUGUUGGAAGAAUUGGUAGAUUCAGUUUUAAGCUACUGUUCCAUUGAUUGUUGAGUCGAUUUAACUUAAAGUUGGCUGAAUACGGGUUUCUCCGCUGCUGUUGCUUAUUGAACCUCAUUUCCUUUUUGUUACCUCUUUUCCAGGUAUUUUCUCAGUGUUGAACGGCAAGAGUUUUCUGAAACAUGUAGAUUGACAAUUGAUUUGAAUACAGGCUAUUUUGGGAUGAUUUACCUUUUUUAUUCCCCUGUUUAUUCAAUUAUCCUCUAAUAAGAGAUGCAGUCUUUCAUGUCAUUUGAGUUGUUUACCUAUAUUUAAGGUUUUGUAUGUCUAAUAGCCAUAAGCAAGAGUAUAUGAGUAUAUGUGUUGGUAAUGAAUUAUAUUACUUGAAAUGUUCUGCUUUGAUAUUAGCCUUUUGGCCUAAUCUUGACCCCCUUCAGAUUUCUGGUUCUGUUGAGAAUGUCAUUUGUUUGGUUAAGCUUCAUGUUUAGUAGGUAAGGUGAUGUAUAAUAGAAUCGAGAUUGUUCUAAGAUUUAAUGGCUAGUUCGGUGCACCUGUGUGCUUAAAGAAUCUGAAUUGUAAUUGAUUUUCUGCUAAAGUUAGUUGUUGAAUCAUGUUUGAGUCUAAUAACAUGUUACUAGUGUUACUAGUUCCUCUCGUGUAAGUACUGGAAUCCUAGAGUCGUUUAAGAGUAGUUUCACAUAAUUAAAUUCAUCAUGUCUAGCUUGGUCUGCUUCUUUGAUAGGUCAGUAAUUAUAAGGUUUUUUGCUUGAAAAUGAUGGAUAAUUCGUGCAUCGUCAUAGUUGAAGUCAUAUUUCAUAAUAGAACAGAUGCAUUGGUUCCAGAGUGGUUCUGUAUUUUCUGACUCAAAGGAUAUUGGCAUUUAUGUAACUCCAACGCGAUUGUCUUCCGUUUAGUCCGGCUUUUGUCAUGAGGAUUCGAAAUGAGACUUUUAUGAAGUCUGACUUCGGUAUACCUCGCGAAAGCUGAUUGUUCUUGGACUAGGAUGUAUGCUUGUUAUGAGGCCCAAGGUUUCGCACCUCGCUAACCCUUCUAGGCCCAUGGACUUUGUGCUAAGCUCAGUCCCUUCUUUUGACGUUAAGAGUUAGGUCUUAAUAGUAUCACCGCUAGUCUAUUCAAAAUACAACAAUAGUACAGAAGAUAGUAGAUACACCCAGCUCUAUUUCUCU